CGUAACAAGGUCUCCGUAGGUGAACCUGCGGAGGGAUCAUUACACAAAUAUGAAGGCGGGCUGGAACCUCUCGGGGUUACAGCCUUGCUGAAUUAUUCACCCUUGUCUUUUGCGUACUUCUUGUUUCCUUGGUGGGUUCGCCCACCACUAGGACAAACAUAAACCUUUUGUAAUUGCAAUCAGCGUCAGUAACAAAUUAAUAAUUACAACUUUCAACAACGGAUCUCUUGGUUCUGGCAUCGAUGAAGAACGCAGCGAAAUGCGAUAAGUAGUGUGAAUUGCAGAAUUCAGUGAAUCAUCGAAUCUUUGAACGCACAUUGCGCCCUUUGGUAUUCCAAAGGGCAUGCCUGUUCGAGCGUCAUUUGUACCCUCAAGCUUUGCUUGGUGUUGGGCGUCUUGUCUCUAGCUUUGCUGGAGACUCGCCUUAAAGUAAUUGGCAGCCGGCCUACUGGUUUCGGAGCGCAGCACAAGUCGCACUCUCUAUCAGCAAAGGUCUAGCAUCCAUUAAGCC
rnacentral:rRNA from 1 species